rnacentral:rRNA from 1 species
CCUACGGGUGGCUGCAGUGAGGAAUAUUGGUCAAUGGGCGAGAUCCUGAACCAGCCAAGUCGCGUGAGGGAUGACUGCCCUAUGGGUUGUAAACUUCUUUUAUCAGAGAAUAAAACGCGGCACGUGUCCCUUUCUGCAUGUACUUUAUGAAAAAGCAUCGGCUAACUCCGUGCCAGCAGCCGCGGUAAUACGGAGGAUGCGAGCGUUAUCCGGAUUUAUUGGGUUUAAAGGGUGCGCAGGCGGCCUGUUAAGUCAGCGGUAAAAGCCCGGGGCUCAACCCCGGCGAGCCGUUGAAACUGGCGGGCUGGAGUUGGAGAGAAGUACGCGGAAUGCGCGGGGUAGCGGUGAAAUGCAUAGAUAUCGCGCAGAACCCCGAUUGCGAAGGCAGCGUACCGGCGCCAGACUGACGCUGAGGCACGAAAGCGUGGGGAUCGAACAGGAUUAGAUACCCGAGUAGUC